rfam:Anopheles arabiensis strain DONG5_A unplaced genomic scaffold supercont1.5, whole genome shotgun sequence.
UGUUAAUGAUGAUACCCAUUUACCAGUUCUGCUUAUGAAAAAUCGAUGAUUAUAAGCAUUUUACCCACAAUUCUUAUCUGAUGA